CCUACGGGAGGCAGCAGUGGGGAAUAUUGGACAAUGGGCGAAAGCCUGAUCCAGCAAUGCCGCGUGAGUGAUGAAGGCCUUAGGGUUGUAAAGCUCUUUUACCAGGGAUGAUAAUGACAGUACCUGGAGAAUAAGCUCCGGCUAACUCCGUGCCAGCAGCCGCGGUAAUACGGAGGGAGCUAGCGUUGUUCGGAAUUACUGGGCGUAAAGCGUACGUAGGCGGUUAUUCAAGUCAGAGGUGAAAGCCUGGAGCUCAACUCCAGAACUGCCUUUGAAACUAGAUAGCUAGAAUCUUGGAGAGGUGAGUGGAAUUCCGAGUGUAGAGGUGAAAUUCGUAUAUAUUCGGAAGAACACCAGUGGCGAAGGCGACUCACUGGACAAGUAUUGACGCUGAGGUACGAAAGCGUGGGGAGCAAACAGGAUUAGAUACCCUGGUAGUCCACGCCGUAAACGAUGAUAACUAGCUGUUCGGGCUCUACGAGCUUGAGUGGCGCAGCUACGACAUUAAGUUAUCCGUCCGUCGGGAGGUACGGUCGCGAGAAGUUAAACGUUAAAUAGUAAGUUAGUACGGACGUGAGACGUGCCGACGGACGACGACGAGGGAGGUUAGG
rnacentral:rRNA from 1 species